rnacentral:misc_RNA from 1 species
UACGUAGGGUGCGAGCGUUAAUCGGAAUUACUGGGCGUAAAGCGUGCGCAGGCGGUUAGAUAAGUUUGAUGUGAAAUCCCCGGGCUCAACCUGGGAACUGCAUUGAAGACUGUCUGACUAGAGUACGGCAGAGGGGGGUGGAAUUCCACGUGUAGCAGUGAAAUGCGUAGAGAUGUGGAGGAACACCGAUGGCGAAGGCAGCCCCCUGGGCCGAUACUGACGCUCAUGCACGAAAGCGUGGGGAGCAAACAGG